GGAAGAGAAACGUCCCCGGUGGGGCGGCCGGACUUCAAAUCCGGAGAGGGUCGCGAGACGGCUCUCGGUGGGUUCGACUCCUGCCUCUUCCGCCA
rnacentral:tRNA from 1 species